GUCAGCGUGGCUCAGUUGAUAAGACUGAUAAUCAAGGCUGCACACAUUAGAGGUGUGUGAGUUCGAAUCUCACUGCUGGCA
rnacentral:tRNA from 2 species